rnacentral:rRNA from 1 species
AUGGCUAGUUAUUACUGGAUAGUUCUCGUUUUGGCGUGCACCUGCGCGCUCAGUGGCGCACUGGCGGCACGCGACCUCGCCGACGAUGCGUCCAUGGCCGCGAGGCACGAGCAGUGGAUGGGCAAGUAUGGCCGCGUGUACGGUGACGCCGCCGAGAAAGCAAGGCGGCUGGAGGUGUUCAAGGCCAACGUCGCGUUCAUCGAGUCCGCGAACGCCGGGAACAACAAGUUCUGGCUGGAGGCCAACCAGUUCGCCGAUAUCACUGAGGACGAGUUCAGGGCUACCCACACCGGAUACAAGCCAGUUGCUGUGACUAACAAGGACCGGAGCACCGGGUUCAGGUACGCGAACGCCAGCCUCGACGACCUCCCGGCCUCCGUGGACUGGAGGACCAAUGGCGCCGUCACUCCCAUCAAAGACCAAGGCCAAUGUGGGUGCUGCUGGGCGUUCUCCACGGUGGCCUCCAUGGAGGGCAUCGUGAAGCUGAGCACGGGCAAGCUGGUCUCCCUCUCGGAGCAGGAGCUGGUGGACUGCGACGGCACAGACAAGGGCUGCGAGGGCGGGCUCAUGGACAACGGCUUCGAGUUCGUCGUCAAAAACGGCGGCCUCGCCACCGAGGCCGACUACCCCUACACCGGUGCAGAGGGCAGCACCUGCGACUCCAGCACGGCCGCGGCGACCAUCACGGGGCACGAGGACGUGCCGGCCAAUGACGAGGCGUCUCUGCUUAAGGCGGUGGCGGCGCAGCCCGUGUCCCUGGCCGUCGACGGCGGGGACAACCUCUUCCGGUUCUACAAGGGCGGCGUGCUCUCCGGCGCGUGCGGCACGCAGCUCGACCACGGCAUCGCGGCCGUCGGGUACGGCGUGUCCGGAGACGGGACCAAGUUCUGGGUGAUGAAGAACUCGUGGGGCGCGGGGUGGGGCGAGGACGGCUUUAUCAGGAUGGAGAGGGACGUCGCCGACGAGCAGGGCCUCUGCGGGCUCGCCAUGCAGCCUUCCUACCCCACGGCGUAG